CCCGCCCGCCAGUUGGUCGCCUCCUGCAGCACCCUGGAGGCCCAGGGACGGCGGGGCGGCGGCUCAGGGGAUCCCGGGCGCGGCCCACACCUGGGACAAUGAGCAGGAACCCAGACUUGAGGGACAGGACUUCUCUGUAGGCAGAGAAAGGGUGUGGUAAAGGAAUUACUAAAGGCAUAGGACUGACCCAAAGAAAGAUGAACCUGCCAGUAACAGAUGAUAAAAACCAAGACACGGAAAGAGUUACUCUGCCUGAGGGAGGAUAUAUGGCUCCAGAGUUUUAGAAAAGGCUCCUGAUCGUCACACUGGAUCCAAACAUGUAAAAGGCUACCUGCAGCAUCUCUGGGAGGAUGACAAGGACCUGCCACAACUGGUAGUGCCUGCUGGCCAAGAAUGAUCUGUGCCAACACGCCUGCUUAGAAUCGCAGAACAGGGCAUAACCUAAACUUGUCCAGGGACACAGCGGCCUCUAACACUGAAAGAUUCCCUCCUUCAGGGAAAGCCCACUUUUCAGUCUUAUUAAGGCAAUGUGACUUCGCUAGACACCUCGAAGCAGUAUAAAAGUCUUUCCCAUCUCCCUCCUGCCAGGGACUGCAGGGCUCACACUCAAGACAACCGGGGGCCAGGUGCUACCUUGCAAGCAGGAGACCCUCAGAAGCCCCCUGCCUUACCCAGGAAAGCCGGAUCACAGCACAGCCCUGCACUCUCUGGCAAACCUCUGAAGGUUUGAGGUGCUAAGAGGAAAGGAGGUCCGAGAUCGCCGAGGUAGGCUCGGGUUCCUAACCGAGAGUAAAGAGUCACUGCCAGCUCGGGCUGAGAGUAUCACGGACGUGAGGUAGGCAUCGCGCGGCCCAGUCCUAGAUGCGCCCAGCGAAGGAGCAGAGGGGCAGGGUCACGGCAUAGGACAGACACCGGCUUCUCGUGCAGCGUCGGUCCCUGCUCAGGCCUCCCUGUCCCCUAACGGGGGUCUCGGGCUCCACAGCGCCCCUCGCCGCCCUCCCGUGCUCCUCACCGUCUCCAUUUCAAGAGGCGCUGACUGGGUUCGCUCGCUUUAGGAAGCUCUCUGAUAGCGGGGCAGAAGGGGCGGAGGGGGCAGAGGCCCCGCCCCGCAUCCGGUACCGCGACACCACUUCCGCCUACGUCAGAUACACGCAAGCCAAGGGCGGAAGGCGGGGACACCACUCUUCCGGCGUGGCCUGGCCUGCGUAACCGCCCUCCCCUGGGUGCUCUCGGACUUUACCGAUCCGCUGCCGGCGAGGGUGACUGGACGGAGCCGCUUGUAUUUAAAAUGUUCUUUUUUUAUUUGUCGUUUAAAAACAAACUUGGAAGAAGCAAAAUCCAAAACUUGCCCUUUGCCUCUUGCAACAUAAAUUAUGUACAGUUCAGAAUGAUCGCUGAUACAAAACAUGCCAAGGACAGGGCGCUGGGGGUGGAGGGAGAGAGGGCGCUUUAAAAAAGGGAAUCAUUUCAUCCGUUGUUACGAAGGACCAAUCUUGCUGUACAGGAUACACACAA